ACGGCUCAGUAACACGUGGAUAACCUGCCCUUGGGUCCGGCAUAACCCCGGGAAACUGGGGAUAAUUCCGGAUAACGCACAUAUGCUGGAAUGCUUUAUGCGUAAAAUGGAUUCGUCUGCCCAAGGAUGGGUCUGCGGCCUAUCAGGUAGUAGUGGGUGUAAUGUACCUACUAGCCAACAACGGGUACGGGUUGUGAGAGCAAGAGCCCGGAGAUGGAUUCUGAGACAUGAAUCCAGGCCCUACGGGGCGCAGCAGGCGCGAAAACUUUACAAUGCGGGAAACCGUGAUAAGGGGACACCGAGUGCCAGCGUCAUACGCUGGCUGUCCAGGUGUGUAAAAUACACCUGUUAGCAAGGGCCGGGCAAGACCGGUGCCAGCCGCCGCGGUAACACCGGCGGCCCGAGUGGUGAUCGUGAUUAUUGGGUCUAAAGGGUCCGUAGCCGGUUUGGUCAGUCCUCCGGGAAAUCUGAUAGCUCAACUAUUAGGCUUUCGGGGGAUACUGCCAGGCUUGGAACCGGGAGAGGUAAGAGGUACUACAGGGGUAGGAGUGAAAUCUUGUAAUCCCUGUGGGACCACCUGUGGCGAAGGCGUCUUACCAGAACGGGUUCGACGGUGAGGGACGAAAGCUGGGGGCACGAACCGGAUUAGAUACCCGGGUAGUCCCAGCCGUAAACGAUGCUCGCUAGGUGUCAGGCAUGGCGCGACCGUGUCUGGUGCCGCAGGGAAGCCGUGAAGCGAGCCACCUGGGAAGUACGGCCGCAAGGCUGAAACUUAAAGGAAUUGGCGGGGGAGCAC
rnacentral:rRNA from 1 species